UACGUAGGGUGCGAGCGUUGUCCGGAAUUACUGGGCGUAAAGAGCUCGUAGGUGGUUUGUCGCGUUGUUCGUGAAAACUCACAGCUCAACUGUGGGCGUGCGGGCGAUACGGGCAGACUAGAGUACUGCAGGGGAGACUGGAAUUCCUGGUGUAGCGGUGGAAUGCGCAGAUAUCAGGAGGAACACCGGUGGCGAAGGCGGGUCUCUGGGCCAGUAACUGACGCUGAGGAGCGAAAGCGUGGGGAGCGAACAGGAUUAGAACCGU
rnacentral:rRNA from 1 species